rnacentral:rRNA from 1 species
AUUGAACGCUGGCGGCAUGCUUUACACAUGCAAGUCGAACGGUAACAGGCCUUCGGGUGCUGACGAGUGGCGAACGGGUGAGUAAUGCAUCGGAACGUGCCCAGAGGUGGGGGAUAACGCAGCGAAAGCUGUGCUAAUACCGCAUGUGAUCUGAGGAUGAAAGCGGGGGACCAGGCAGCAAUGUUUGGCCUCGCGCCUUUGGAGCGGCCGAUGUCAGAUUAGGUAGUUGGUGGGGUAAAGGCCUACCAAGCCGACGAUCUGUAGCUGGUCUGAGAGGACGACCAGCCACACUGGGACUGAGACACGGCCCAGACUCCUACGGGAGGCAGCGGUGGGGAAUUUUGGACAAUGGGCGCAAGCCUGAUCCAGCAAUGCCGCGUGCGGGAAGAAGGCCUUCGGGUGGUAAACCGCUUUUGUACGGAACGAAAAGGCUCUGGCUAAUACCUGGGGCUGAUGACGGUACCGUAAGAAUAAGCACCGGCUAACUACGU